UACGAAGGGUGCAAGCGUUAAUCGGAAUUACUGGGCGUAAAGCGCGCGUAGGUGGUUCAGUAAGUUGGAAGUGAAAUCCCCGGGCUCAACCUGGGAACUGCUUUCAAAACUGCUGAGCUAGAGUACGGUAGAGGGUGGUGGAAUUUCCUGUGUAGCGGUGAAAUGCGUAGAUAUAGGAAGGAACACCAGUGGCGAAGGCGACCACCUUGACUGAUACUGACACUGAGGUGCGAAAGCGUGGGGAGCAAACAGG
rnacentral:rRNA from 1 species